rnacentral:rRNA from 1 species
UACGUAGGGUGCAAGCGUUGUCCGGAAUUAUUGGGCGUAAAGAGCUCGUAGGCGGUUUGUCGCGUCUGCUGUGAAAACCCGAGGCUCAACCUCGGGCCUGCAGUGGGUACGGGCAGACUAGAGUGCGGUAGGGGAGAUUGGAAUUCCUGGUGUAGCGGUGGAAUGCGCAGAUAUCAGGAGGAACACCAAUGGCGAAGGCAGAUCUCUGGGCCGAUACUGACGUGAGGAGCGAAAGCGUGGGGAGCGAACAGG